CAGUAGCCGCGGGAACACAGAGGGUGCGAGCGUUAAUCGGAUUUACUGGGCGUAAAGCGUGCGUAGGCGGCUUUUUAAGUCGGAUGUGAAAUCCCUGAGCUUAACUUAGGAAUUGCAUUCGAUACUGGGAAGCUAGAGUAUGGGAGAGGAUGGUAGAAUUCCAGGUGUAGCGGUGAAAUGCGUAGAGAUCUGGAGGAAUACCGAUGGCGAAGGCAGCCAUCUGGCCUAAUACUGACGCUGAGGUACGAAAGCAUGGGGAGCAAACAGGAUUAGAUACCCGGGUAGUCCCUGUCUCUUAUAC
rnacentral:rRNA from 1 species